AAGAGUAUAUUUUAAUAGGGAAAUGUAAAGCUUAAGCUUUAAAUUCACAGUUCGAAUCUGUGUACUCUUU
rnacentral:tRNA from 1 species